rnacentral:rRNA from 1 species
CCUACGGGUGGCAGCAGUGGGGAAUAUUGCGCAAUGGGCGAAAGCCUGACGCAGCGACGCCGCGUGAGGGAUGAAGGUCUUCGGAUCGUAAACCUCUGUCAGCAGGGAAGAACGGUCACUGUGCUAAUCAGCAGUGAAUUGACGGUACCUGCAAAGGAAGCACCGGCUAACUCCGUGCCAGCAGCCGCGUUAAUACGGAGGGUGCGAGCGUUAGUCGGAAUUACUGGGCGUAAAGCGCUCGUAGGCGGUAGGUCAAGUCAAGGGUGAAAUCCCCGCGCUCAACGUGGGAACUGCCUUUGAAACUGGCAAACUGGAGUGUGUGAGAGGAGAGUGGAAUUCCAGGUGUAGGAGUGAAAGCCGUAGAUAUCUGGAGGAACAUCAGUGGCGAAGGCGACUAUCUGGCACAUAACUGACGCUGAGGAGCGAAAGCGUGGGUAGCAAACAGGAUUAGAUACCCUGGUAGUC